AUAUAUGCAAUAUGCUUCUCAUUUGUAGCUCAAGAAAUAGAAGUCGAUCAAUUUAAAUAUUUAACAGAAGAAGAUCUUAAAACUUUAAUACCGAAUAUUGGACCCCGACGAAAAUUUCAAAACAAUGUAAAAGAACAUUUAAAUGAGAUUGCACAACAAUCCAUAGAAAAUGUUGAUCCAAAUAAUCAACAGCCACAAGCCACACAAGAUUUGGAUUAUACAAACAUAUCAAUAAAAAGGCAAAAAA